rnacentral:misc_RNA from 1 species
GCAAACUUGGUCAUUUAGAGGAAGUAAAAGUCGUAACAAGGUUUCCGUAGGUGAACCUGCGGAAGGAUCAUUACUGAGUUUUUGAACCGGGUUUUGAUGCUGGCCUUCCGAGGCAUGUGCUCGCCCUGCUCUCAUCCACUCACACCUUGUGCACCUUACGUCGAAGAUGCGACUGGAAGCUAGGGGGAGACCUUAGCCAAUGGUUGCUUCUUUGCGUUAUUUUACACAAACCCUCGAAUGUAUUAGAAUGUCUAUUGGCCUACGGGCGUUAAUUUAAUUAAAGUACAACUUUCAACAACGGAUCUCUUGGCUCUCGCAUCGAUGAAGAACGCAGC